rnacentral:rRNA from 1 species
CCUACGUGCGGCAGCAGUGAGGAAUAUUGGUCAAUGGGCGAGAGCCUGAACCAGCCAAGUCGCGUGAGGGAGUACUGCCCUAUGGGUUGUAAACCUCUUUUCUCGGGGAGCAAAAUCCGGACGUGUCCGGAUGUGAGUGUACCCGAAGAAAAAGCAUCGGCUAAAUCCGUGCGAGCAGCCGAGGUAAUACGGAGGAUGCCAGCGUUAUCCGGUUUUAUUGGGUUUAAAGGGUGCGAAGGCGGAUUUUUAAGUCAGCGGUAAAAUCGUGGGGCUCAACCCAAUCCAGCCGUUUAUACUGGGGAUCUAGAGUGUGCGAGAGGUAUGCGGAAUGCGUGGUGUAGCGGUGAAAUGCAUAGAUAUCACGCAGAACCCCGAUUGCGAAGGCAGCAUACCGGUGCACAACUGACGCUCAGGCACGAAAGCGUGGGUAUCGAACAGGAUUAGAUACCCUUGUAGUC